GAUUAACGCUAGCGGCAGGCCUAAUACAUGCAAGUCGAACGGGAUUCAAAGUAGCAAUAUUUUGAUGAGAGUGGCGCACGGGUGAGUAACACGUAUGCAAUUUACCUUUAACUGGGGGAUAGCCCUCCGAAAGGAGGAUUAAUACCGCAUAAUAUAUUGAAAUGGCAUCAUUUUAAUAUUAAACCUACGGGGGUUAAAGAUGAGCAUGCAUCCGAUUAGCUAGUUGGUGUGGUAACGGCUCACCAAGGCAACGAUCGGUAGGGGUCUGAGAGGAUGAUCCCCCACACUGGCACUGAGACACGGACCAGACUCCUACGGGAGGCAGCAGUAAGGAAUAUUGGACAAUGGAGGCAACUCUGAUCCAGCCAUGCCGCGUGAAGGAUUAAGGGCCCUAAUGGGUUGUAAACUUCUUUUAGACCGGGGUACAAAAACCCCCUUUUACGUGUAAAGGGUUGAUGGUACUGUCAGAAUAAGCAUCGGCUAACUUCGU
rnacentral:rRNA from 1 species